AAGCAACAUGAUGCAUUCAAAGGCUGGUGGGUCCACUGCCUCUCUGCCGGACUUCGACCAAAACAUCAGAUCUUCCUGGGUCUUGAGACACUGGUUUUCAGACUGUAACUAUAUCAUCAUCUCUCAUGGUUCUCAGACCUUCAAACUUGGACUGAAAUUUACAUCAUCAGCUCUUCUGGCCUCCAGCUUUCUGACAGCAGAUAUUGGUACUGGAUAGACUCCAUAGUGACUAUGAAAAUUCGGCAGUUUGGAUCCAAGGAUGAGAAGACACAUAGAAGAGUUCCAGAGAUUAUUAGCUGACACAUAGCCAAUAUGAAUUAAGAUGAAGAAAGAAAACUCUGUUUUUGAUAAUUUUGGGUUGUUACUGCAACAAAUUCUAGGGCAAUAGUUCUUAAUAUGUGGUUCUAAGACUAGUAGGAUCAGCUUGUUAAAAACUGCAAAUUCUUGGGUGUUACCCUCAACUUCCUGAAAAUGAAACUCUAUUUACCAAGGCUUUUGAGUGAUGCUGAGGUAUACCAAAGUGUGAGAAUUGCUGAUGUAAUAGCUAAUUCUUAUGGUUUCCAGGUAAAUUCUAUAAAACCUUUAACAUGCAGAAAACUCCAAAACUAUUAGACAGUUUUAGAUCAUUGAGAGAUAAAUCAAGCUUCAUUUAUGAAAUAAAGCUUUUUAAUAAGAUAUAUAUUAAUAUUAAAUUUAAAAAUAGAUUAAAGAAAAUUCCACACUAAACUCAUCAUAGAUUUGGGUUAAAAUGUAUAGUAAGCAAAAUAUGAACAGAAUUUAGCAGCACAUUAAUAUUCCUCAGUGAAAUAGGGUUGAUGCCAUGGCUGAAUAGUCCAUCUAGUGGAAGGUUCUAUUAGUAGCUGAUAUUUAUCAAUCACCAUGUUAAUGGGAAGAAGAGACACACACAUAUACGAUUCUCUCCAUACACACACAAAAAAAAAAUUGGUCAAAAAUAAAAGUUUCUUAAUUUAAAAAGAAUAACAGAAAUACCUAGAUAAUUUAAAAAAUAUGACAAAAAGAAUAUCUUUUAAUAACCAGAAUAAUGUCUAAUUUUUAGGAGUCAUAUUUCUCCUUCCAAUCAUUGAGAAAAAGGUGUUUUUUAAAAUGUAGGUUCUUAAAACAUUUUGGAUGAAAUAAUGAAGUCAAUUGAAGAUUAUUUCUUAUCUUUAGUAAAUUAAAUUCCAGACUAGUAAAGAUGUAAACAUAAAAAUUAUCCAUAGAAGAACACAUAGGACAUAAUUUUUGAAUCAGAGUAUAGAAGUCACAAAACUUAGAAAUUAUAAAAGAAAGUAAAUUUAUAAAAGAAAAAAAGCAAAGUGAAAACUUUUACACUAAAAAACUUUAAAAAAAUAAUCAAGUGAUAAAUUGGAAUAAUAAUUUUGUAUUAUAUGUGACACUGAAAAUGCUAGUUUCUUCAGCAUAAGAAUAAGAACAUAUAACUUAUUUAAAAAUUGGCAGAGGACACAAAAAAGUAAUUGAUAGGAAAAAAAUACAUUUAUUUGACUGGGUGUAGUGGCUCCCACCUGUAAUCCUAGCACUUUGGGAGGCCGAGGUGGGCAAAUUCCUUAGCUCAGGAGACUGAGACCAGGCUGGACUCACUUUACGGCACACACUCAUAAUAACUAACCCCCCUCCACUAUUAUGACAUGAAUCCCUGUUGGGGAGUUCUCUCAAGACCCAAUCACCUCGGUAGGCUUCACCUCCCAACACUGUUGCAUUGAGGAUUGAGUUACAUUGAGGAUUAACUGACUUAUGAACUUUUGAAAACCACAUUCAAGCCAUAGCAUUCUGACCCUGAUCCCUCAAAUUUGUGUCCUUCUCACAAUAAAAAAUACAUUUCUUCCAUCCCAAUUGUUUAAAAAGUCCUAACUCAUUUCAGUAGCAACUCAAAAGUCCAAAGAAUAAAGUUUCAUCUAAAUCACAUGUAGGUGUGAUUUUUUUUUUGAAAAUGCUUUUUUAUUGGACAAGAAAACUGAUCAAAUCUAAAUCUGGACAAACUAGAAAGUUCGGGUGCUCGCAAUACAAUCUAUAGACACAUUCUAGCGUCGCUUCUACGUCAGAAGAAUCAGGAUGGUGGUGCCUGCAGAUCCAUGGUCCUCC
rnacentral:lncRNA from 1 species